UUCUCUGCAGGAACUGAGAGAGCUCUCUACACAUCUAUCUCGCAGCCCUCAUUAUAUGGGGGCCUAAGAAAGACCUGGGGGAACUGAAACAGCCUUGGGAGAGGAACUUGGCCAAAAGGAAGAGAGGUUUUGCAAUUGAUCCUUCCCAUUGCUAUAUCAUCCUCUUGUCCCCCUCCCUGGAUCCCUUGGGUUUCCAGUGGCGCCAGUGUCAAUGUCUUCCAACAACUCCAGGUCUUCCAUCAACUCCAAGUCUUCCAAAAACCUCAAAGUCUUCCAGACAAUCCUGGUCUUCCAGAAAAUCCUCGUCUCCCAAAUAAUAUAUGUCUUCCAAAAGUCUCCAAGUCUUCCAGGAAAUCCAGUCUUCCGGCAGUUAUAUGUCUUCCACAAAAUCCAGAUCUUCCAGGAAAACAUACGUCUUCCAGAAAAUCCAUGUCUUCCAGUUUUGAGGUCUUCCUGCCAAUCUACAUCUUCCAACAAUUUCAAGGUCUUCCCGCCAAUUCAUGUCUUCCAGAAAAAUCUGUGUCUUCCACCAAAUCCAAGUCUUCCAAUCAAUCUGGUUCUUCCAGAAAAGUCCAAGUCUUCCAAACAAUGUCUUCCAGAAAGAAAUCCAGGUCUUCCAGGCAGCCCAUGUCUUCCAGAAAAAUCUACGUCUUCCUCCAAAUCCAAGUUUUCCAAUCAAUCCAGUUCUUCCGGAAAUGUUCAAGUCUUCCAGUCAAUCAGUGUCUUCCAGAAAGAAAUCCAGGUCUUCCAGAAAAAUCUACGUCUUCCACAAAACCCAGGUCUUCCAGCAUCUCCAGGGCUUCCAGCAUCUGCUCGUCUUCCUACAUCUCUGCAUCUUCCAGCAUCAUCACGUCUUCCAACAUCUCCAGGUCUUCCAACAACUACCCAGUCUUCCAUCAGCGGGCUCAAUAUCUACGUCUUCCAAUGUCUUCAGUGUGCUGGUCUAACAUUAAGGUCUUCCAGUCUCUGCAAUAUCCAGGUAUUCUAA
ensembl:lncRNA